rnacentral:rRNA from 1 species
UACGUAGGGUGCAAGCGUUAAUCGGAAUUACUGGGCGUAAAGCGCACGUAGGCGGGUUGUUAAGUCAGGGGUGAAAUCCUGGAGCUCAACUCCAGAACUGCCUUUGAUACUGGCAACCUAGAGACUGGAAGAGGUUAGUGGAAUUCCCAGUGUAGAGGUGAAAUUCGUAGAUAUCGGGAAGAACACCAGUGGCGAAGGCGGCUAACUGGUCCAGCACUGACGCUGAGGUGCGAAAGCGUGGGGAGCAAACAGG